rnacentral:rRNA from 1 species
AGAGUUUGAUCCUGGCUCAGGAUGAACGCUAGCGGCAGGCUUAAUACAUGCAAGUCGAGGGGUAACACGGGUAGCAAUACCUGGUGACGACCGGCAAACGGGUGCGGAACACGUACAGAACCUUCCUUUAAGCGGGGAAUAGCCCAUAGAAAUGUGGAUUAAUACCCCAUAGUAUUAUUGAUUGGCAUCAAUGGAUAAUUAAAGAUUUAUCACUUAAAGAUGGCUGUGCGGCUGAUUAGGUAGUUGGUGCGGGUAACGGCCCACCAAGCCAGCGAUCAGUAACUGGUGUGAGAGCACGACCAGUCACACGGGCACUGAGACACGGGCCCGACUCCUACGGGAGGCAGCAGUAAGGAAUAUUGGUCAAUGGACGCAAGUCUGAACCAGCCAUGCCGCGUGAAGGAUGAAGGCCCUCUGGGUUGUAAACUUCUUUUAUCUGGGAAGAAAUCCAUAUUUUCUAAUGUGGUUGACGGUACCAGAUGAAUAAGCACCGGCUAACUCCGUGCCAGCAGCCGCGGUAAUACGGAGGGUGCAAGCGUUAUCCGGAUUCACUGGGUUUAAAGGGUGCGUAGGCGGGUUGGUAAGUCCGUGGUGAAAUCCCCAAGCUUAACUUGGGAACUGCCGUGGAUACUAUCAAUCUUGAAUAUCGUGGAGGUAAGCGGAAUAUGUCUGUAGCGGUGAAAUGCUUAGAUAUGACAUAGAACACCAAUUGCGUAGGCAGCUUACUACACGAUGAUUGACGCUGAGGCACGAAAGCGUGGGGAGCAAACAGGAUUAGAUACCCUAGUAGUCC